GCGCCCGUAGCUCAGCUGGAUAGAGCGUCGGUCUACGAAACCGAAGGUCACAGGUUCAAAUCCUGUCGGGCGCG
rnacentral:tRNA from 1 species